CCCCAGCUGCGAAGCCCUCCUCAGCCUCCCGGCCCGCGCCCGCCAUUUCCCCGCGAACAGCCCACGCGUGUCCGAGCCGCCCCGUGACGAGCAGCGCCCGCUCCGGGGGAGGCCCCUGGCUCCUCGUCGGGCCUGGCCACGCUGGGAAACGGCAUCGUGGGCAGCAGCCUGGCUUAGCGCCGUGUGGGAAACCGUGUCAGUCUGCGCCACCGCCGAGUGCCACAUCGUGCCAGGCCCGGGCUCCGGUGGAAACUUGCUGCUCGGGCGGUAACGUGAUAUACUGUGGCUGUGUGACAUACAUGAUGUGACUGAAACACUGUCAUUGGCAGUACAGGGAGAAUGGAAACUACACACUAAGAAAAAAAACUAGACAUUCUGAUUUGAAUGUUGACCAGUGCAUUUUAAUCAAUAUGGAUUCCGGGUCAGAUACUUUUUCAGAAGAUAUACAUCUUAUCACCAGAGAAUAGUAACUCCCUAUUGAAAGACUCUGCUGAAAUUUCAGAGCCUGUACUCCCUCCUGUGUUAGACCUCCCUGUGCUUUUUACCACUGAAAGAAAUGCUAGUACUGUUGUCAAUGAAGGCGUAGCUAAUAAUAUAGUAAAAGUUGCUGGUUAUGCAGAAGAUGAUUUGAUCAAUGUUACUCUUGAAGCUUGCAACCUUAAGGAAACAGGACUAGUUCCUGCUUCUGUUUUUAUAAAAAUAUUUUGAAGAUGUGACAGGACAGAGCCAUGCGAAAUGCAGAUUAUUAAUCCUCUACAAUAUGUUAGACCCUAAAAGGCAGAAUAUCUUUAUUGCUAGAGAAACAUGUCAUGCUGCUAUGAAAAGCUGGAUUGCCACAUGCUAUCACAACUGUAUUUCAGAUGAUGAAGCUGAUGAAAAUAAGUCAACAAGGGAACAUGCUUAAAAAUAGAGGAAAUACAUCAUUCCUAUCUAAGGAAGACCAAGACAUUCCAGGGAAAAGCUGAAGACACAUGUUUCCUAUAGUGUAUUGUUUAGAAAUGUGUGACUGAUUGCAGUGGGGUGGGGGAUUAUAUCUUUUAGACAUCUUCAUGUAUUGGGGUGGGUUGGUUGUUUGUUUUUUGCCUAUUUUGUGGGUAUUUAUAAUGUUACAUUUAAGGUAUGUGUAUCUUCUAUUCCUGACAUGUUACUAUUUAAAAUGGCAGAGCAUAAAAAAAUAGCACCCCCCCCCCACACACACACGCAGUGUGUGUCUCCAUUUCUCUCUCUCUAAACUGGUUACGUUCACCUUUGGAGUUACUUCAUUGAAAUCAACAUAGUUACCCCAGAGAUGAAUUUGUCUAACUGCAAAUAAUUAGAAGGGUUUUCAUUUAAUUUUAGAUUCAAAUCUACCUCUGCUGACCUUGUUGGGGGGUGGGGUUUUUUUUUUUUUUUUUUUUUUUUUUUUUUUUUUAAAUUAUUAUAUAUGCCCCUUUGUUCUAGAAAACUAAAUGUUGUUGUUGUUGUUGUUGUUUUCAAUGCACAUUUCCCACCCCCUCCAGUUAGGGCCCCUUUUGUGCCUUAUAAGUGAACUCUCUCUCAUCUAACUUACCCAGAUAUAUAUAUAUAGAAAAUAUACUUGAGAUUGCAUAACUCACAGAUCCAGCUGGAUUGCCUCUUCUGAGGGAAAAAUGCCAUGAGAAAUGUUCAAGGGAAGGAAAUUUCCACAAGAACGUUUUUUAAUGGGUUCUCUUGUUUUUAUUGUGGGAGACAGUUGAGCCACAGACCAUGAGUGUCAAGCACCUACCAAAUUUGGUAGAGUCCCAACUCCCUAGAGGCACUGACAUAUUUUUUUUGUUUUUGUUUUUGCUGAUGGGUGUUUUUGAAGAGAGGUGUGUGUUUGGGGGAUCACGCUGCUAGGUUUGGGGGGAGGCUAUUUUCAGCAUAUUUAUACUUUUUUGUCAUAUUCUAGUUAUUGAAUGUGUCUAUCAUUGGUAUCUUUACUAAUAAAUGAUUCAAUUGUUAUGAACUACAUAAUUACAUUAUCAUGAAUUACAGUAUAUUAAGAUCCUUGUAA